GGGCGUAUGGCGCAGCGGUAGCGCGCUUCGUUCACACCGAAGAGGUCACUGGUUCAAACCCAGUUACGCCCACCA
rnacentral:tRNA from 1 species